GCAGACGUGGCCGAGUGGUCUAAGGCGCCAGGCUGCUAACUUGGUGGGUUCUCCCGCGCGCGUUCGAAUCGCGUCGUCUGCG